AGCUCCUCCCUAGCCCCGCGCGCGGCGGGAGCACCUGGGGAGAAGAGUCCUGGCGUCGCCUGCUACCAGCGCCGCGCUCCUCUGAACAAACACUGCCGGAGCCCUCCGUGAGCCGGCUAUUCCAGCCCAGCCCCGCGUCCGCCCGUCCCGCAGCAGGCGCGGUGAAUCGUGCGCGCUGGCGGACGAGGCGGGCUCGGCAGGACGCUGCUGUGCCGUCCCGUGUGGAUUUGGCUCCAGGUCGUCCUGAGGAUGCCGCGCAGAAGCCGUGUGGGCCUCGGGACGCAGGCCUGCGUGGCUGCAGCGCACCAGGGGAGGCUCCGGGGAUCCCGAGCUGGCGCGGACUCGCGAGACCCCCUGGCCGCUCUGCGGGGAGCGCUGGGGAGGCGUCCCGAGCGGGCGCCAGAGACCCGCGGGCUCCCCGUGCAGGGGCUGCCUGGGCUGGGGCCCGGGUGGGUCUGCGCAGGUGUGGGAAGUGCCGGCUCCCGGUAGAUGCUGAAGGCGGAGUUGCCAGGAUUUGCUGCGGACUUUUGGAGAAAUGAGGCGGGGAAGGACGAGCUUGAGAACCGACGCCGGAGAGACGGGGAAGACGGGGGAGGCCUGAGCGCGGGCUGGCAUGGCUGGGGAGGUUGUGCACUGCCCAAGAAUGCUCACUGAGGAGCGUGUUCACGUCUCAUCGUGGGUGUCUGUGUUUAUUAUGACAACUACCAGCAGCCCCCGAGGAGCAGCGACAGAUGGAGGUCGGGGGCUCUAAGCUGAACACAGGCGGUCGGUCCUCCUUCCCAGGAGCCUCAGCGUGUGUGUCCGCAGGUGCCCCUUUAUCUAGCGCCCUUGGGGGAAUGGGACGUGUCAGAGGAGAUGCAGUGGGCAGAGGCUGCACUGGAUGAAGAGAACUAUGUGGGAAUCGCAUGUGGGGUGUGACUGGGGACCAGUGCCUGAACUCUGGGACUCCAACUUGAAGAGGUUUGGAAUCUGCAAAGGAGACUAGGAAGGGGCACAGGGGGUGCUAGGGGUGGGGGCCGGAGGACAAACCAGGAGAGGGGCUUCUGGAAGCCAGAGAGGGCGUGCACACACAGGCGGGGGAGGGAGCCUGGGUGCAGCAGGGUGGGCCACUGCGACUCACCGAGGGCCAGCGGCGCUGGGGCCAGGGGCUGGAGUUUGGAGAGUGAGCAGAGAGCACGCAGGGGCUGUGAACACCAACUUCUCUUUCAGGUCAAUUUGCUGCAAAGGGGAAGGUAAAGGUGGAGGUAACUAAGGAGCAGGGCAAGAGAGGGGUGUGGUUUUCUGUAGGGUCCAGCCCUACGGGGGCUUAGCAGGUGUCCUCCCCGUGUGCAGAGACCAGAGAUUGUAAUAAAGACACGAGAUAAAGAGCAGCUGGGCCCCGGGGGACCACUACCAUCAAGACGUGGAGACCGGUAGUGGCCCUGAGCGCCUAGGUGCGCUGAUAUUUAUUGCAUACAAGACAAGGGGGCAGGGUAAGGAGGGUGAAUCUUCUAAGUGAUAAAGUGAAGCAAGUCACGUGAUCAUAGGACAGGGGGCCCUUCCCUCUUAGGCAGCCGAAGCAAAGAGAGAAGGCAGCAUAUGUCAGCAUUUUCUUCUCUGCACUUAGAAGAACGAUCAAAGACUUUAAGACUUUCACUAUUUCUUCUACCGCUAUCUACUACGAACUUCAAAGAGGAGCCAGGAGUACGGGAGGAGCAUGAAAGUGGAUAAGGAGUGUGAUCAUUCAAGCACCACAGGGAGGGGGUUAGGCCUCCGGAUGACUGCAGGCCAGGCCUGGAGAAUAUCCAGCCUCCCACAAGAAGCUGGUGGAGCAGAGUGUUCCCUGACUCCUCCAAGGAAAGGAGACUCCCUUUCACGGUCGGCUAAGUAACGGGUGCCUUCCCAGGCACUGGCGUUACCGCUUGACCAAGGAGCCCUCAAGCGGCCCUUAUGUUGGCGUGACAGAGGGCUCACCUCUUGCCUUCUAGGUCACUUCUCACAACGUCCCUUCAGCACCUGACCCUAUACCCGCCGGUUAUUCCUAGGUUGUAUUAGUAAUGCCACAAAGAGUAAUAUUAAAAGCUAAUGACUAAUAUUUA
rnacentral:lncRNA from 10 species